ACGAACGCUGGCGGCGUGCUUAAUGCAUGCAAGUCGAACGAGAACUACUUCACUCGUAAGAGCGAGGUAGGACAGUGGCGAACGGGUGCGUAACACGUGAGAAACCUGCCUUGAGAGUCGGAUAGGCCCGGGAAACCCGGAUUUAAUACCGAAUACCUUCAUGACACCGCAUGGUGAUAUGAAGAAAUGGUCCGCCGCUCCAAGAUGGUCUCGCGGCCUAUCAGCUUGUUGGUGAGGUAACGGCUCACCAAGGCGAAGACGGGUAGCUGGUCUGAGAGGACGAUCAGCCACACUGGGACUGAGACACGGCCCAGACUCCUACGGGAGGCAGCAGCAGGGAAUAUUGCACAAUGGGCGAAAGCCUGAUGCAGCGACGCCGCGUGCGGGAUGAAGGCCUUCGGGUUGUAAACCGCUUUCAGCAGGGACGAAAAUGACGGUACCUGCAGAAGAAGCCCCGGCCAACUACGUG
rnacentral:rRNA from 1 species